rnacentral:rRNA from 1 species
AUUGAACGCUGGCGGCAUGCCUUACACAUGCAAGUCGAACGGCAGCACGGGAGCAAUCCUGGUGGCGAGUGGCGAACGGGUGAGUAAUAUAUCGGAACGUGCCCAGUGAUGGGGGAUAGCCCGGCGAAAGCCGGAUUAAUACCGCAUACGACCUACGGGUGAAAGCAGGGGAUCGCAAGACCUUGCGUCAUUGGAGCGGCCGAUAUCAGAUUAGCUUGNGGUGGGGUAAAGCCUACCAAGGCGACGAUCUGUAGCUGGUCUGAGAGGACGACCAGCCACACUGGGACUGAGACACGGCCCAGACUCCUACGGAGGCAGCAGUGGGGAAUUUUGGACAAUGGGCGCAAGCCUGAUCCAGCCAU